rnacentral:rRNA from 1 species
UCUGGCGGCCUUAGCGCGGUGGUCCCACCUGACCCCAUGCCGAACUCAGAAGUGAAACGCCGUAGCGCCGAUGGUAGUGUGGGGUCUCCCAUGCGAGAGUAGGGAACUGCCAGAC